GACAGCUAGCACGCAUCUAUCUCCACUAAGGGUCUCCAACGGUCCGCUAAAAGAAAGGAAAACGAUAAAAAAAAAAGGGAAUCCACAAAAUAAAAGGCGACCUCUCUUCUCUCUCUAGGGGACUGACCUGACUCCUCAAUAAUCACUCUCUCUUAGCAAAAAAUCAAGAAAAUAGAAAAAAGAAAACGAUAAAGAAAAUAAGAGAGAGGACCACAAGAAAACCAGUCCUCUCACUCUCCAAAAUGAUAAUCUCUCCCUCUGAACAUGAAGAAAGGGGAGGAAAAUAAAAAGAGAAAGAAAUUGUUCCCUAUUCUUCUCCACAGCGCCAAACAACCGCCUUCCUUCCGUCGGAAUCAACACAGAUCCGCUCACCGCCGGCAAACCUCCGUCCGCGUUCCAACCUAACAACAACGCAUAACCCAUUCACUCUUCAUCUCGUCGCCGCGAAAUCCCAAACUCCAACCACCACCGUCGGAAACUACCUUCGACCUCCAUCCGCGACCCCUCCCUCACCGGAAGCUCCAUCUAAAUCUCCAAUAAAUCCACCGCCUGGACCAGCCGUCACAACAACUCCUCUUCUCCUUUCCGACGAAUGACAUCCACUACACCACCAUCGCGAAACCCACCGUGAAACCGCCGUUUCCUCCUUUUCACACCUACUCUCACAUCAAACCUUCUUAAUCGUCGGCGACGCCCCCUUCCUCCAACAACAACCACUCACCGUCGAUAUCCCUAAAUCGUCGCCAACAACCGCGAUUUCUGAGCGACAGCCCAAAUCUCCGCCCACGAUCUCCGACCAUAUAGUUGUUUAGCGGUAAUUUCAUGAUCAUCAAGCUAUGGAUAAGCUAGAGAUCAAAUAACAAAAGUCGCCACCGCGCUGUUAUUGUUUCCAAGGGAAAAGGGAAAAUGUACGAACAAAACCCAAAAGUAAAAAGUUUUCAAAUUAAAACUAAUAAAAUGUCAGAGAUUACAGGUAAGGGGGUUGGUUACACAGGGAAGGUGUUAACACCCAAAGUGUCCUAGGUACUCCUAGAGAGCCCUUUUUGUGUGCAUAUGUAUUUUGUAUAAAAUGAUGUUUACAAACAAAAUAGAAUGGGGGAUGAGAAAAGAAUUCAUUAAAUA